GAUAGAGAGAAGAGAAUGCCAUUCUGUAGGCUAUAACCGCCAUGUGAAGUUGCAAACCAUCGCAUCCGUUCUUCCAGAGAAACCCACACCCAUUGGCAUAGGCUUUCUCCAUCUCUUCCUGUUGUUUCUAAUUUCCGAUGAUGAAGAUGGUGACUUUUUGCCGUUAUUAUUUUUCAGUACUGUUUCCUAUUCCAAUGCGUAAACGUGGUUUUCUUGGUCCCUCAUUUUAGACGUAAACUAUGGCUCUUUCGAUUUGUUGCCGACGGUUGUUUCUUAGUCCCUUUUCUUUGUUUUUGAUUAUGGUUUUCUUGGUCCCUCAUUUGAGAUCUUAAAGUACAGAGCUUUCGAUGCAUAGGUGAUUUACGUACAAGUAGCGGUGGUAACGAUUGACGUACGGUGGUGACAAGAACUAGGACCAUAUUCAGCGGUGAUAUCAUAGGAUGAUUUGAAUUAGGACCUUAAAAAGUUUUUUUUCAUUAACUGUUGUUACUAAUAUGUUAAGUCUGGUUUAUAUGAAGCACAGAAACUAAAAAAAAGCGUUGUCAUGUUUUUGGCUGUUACAUAAAGGGUUUCUGACCUGUUGAUGGAUGGCAUUCAGGAUAUAAUGUAUGCCAAAUUGUGUUUUGUGGGAUGCUUAUGACUAUGAUUAUACAGGGAAGGAAAGAUCUUUUGGAUUUGCUAUGUCAAACUCCUGAAUUCAUUGGGCCAAAGUUAAAUGGUAGGGUGAUUACGUAGGGGCGGUAUGGAAGUGUGAAAUAUCAUUUACAAGAACGUUGACUGCAUCCUUAAAGAUGUUUUGAUCUAUCCCUCUGAGAAAUUGGUGAAGGAAAUUGAGCAAAACAAACGAACUUAAAGCAAAGGCUCAAGUCUCACAUGCACAACAUGAUGAUGUUCAAAAUUACAUCAAUGUUAGUGUUAU
rnacentral:lncRNA from 1 species